AGAGUUUGAUCAUGGCUCAGAGUGAACGCUGGCGGCAGGCCUAACACAUGCAAGUCGAACGGUAGCACAGAGGAGCUUGCUCCUUGGGUGACGAGUGGCGGACGGGUGAGGAACACGUAAGAAUUUGCCUCUAGGAGGGGGAUAACAACUGGAAACGGUUGCUAAUACCCCAUAUGCUUUCGAGUGAAAUGGAUUUUUCCGCCUAGAGAGAAGCUUGCGGCUGAUUAGCUUGUUGGUAAGGUAAUGGCUUACCAAGGCGACGAUCAGUAUCUGGUUUGAGAGGAUGAUCAGACACACUGGAACUGAGACACGGCCCAGACUCCUACGGGAGGCAGCAGUGGGGAAUAUUGGACAAUGGGCGCAAGCCUGAUCCAGCAAUGCCGCGUGUGUGAAGAAGGCCUGCGGGUUGUAAAGCACUUUCAGUAGAGAAGAAAAGCCUAAGGUUAAUACCCUUGAGUCUUGACGUAACCUACAGAAGAAGCACCGGCUAACUCCGUGCCAGCAGCCGCGGUAAUACGGAGGGUGCAAGCGUUAAUCGGAAUUACUGGGCGUAAAGCGCGCGUAGGCGGCUUUGUAAGUCGGAUGUGAAAGCCCCGGGCUUAACCUGGGAAUUGCAUUCGAUACUGCAUGACUAGAGUAUGGUAGAGGGAAGUGGAAUUUCCGGUGUAGCGGUGAAAUGCGUAGAUAUCGGAAGGAACACCAGUGGCGAAGGC
rnacentral:rRNA from 1 species